AGAAGAACACGGCCGCUGGUGACUGGAGAAGCAGAACGGUGUAUUUCUGGAAGUUUGCAGUGUGGUCCACUUGUCUUUGCAUCCUGGGAAGUGCAUUGCUUUCACAAGGAAGCGUAUUUUUUUGGCAUUGAAGGAAAGAAAUGUACUGCCCGACAGGGAGUGAGCAUAAGACCAGGACGGUGGUGCAGAGUGAUGGCCAUCAACCCACAUGUCAACAGCUUCGUUCGGUCCUUUGUGUUUAAAUGGAAGACUUCACACUGAGGGACUGUGGCCUGUUUGCAGCCAUCCACGUGCCCUUCAGUUAGGGUUGAAUCUUGUGGGACACUUGUUGUUUUUGCUCACUUUUUAAGAUAAAUCAAAUUUCUGAUGCACUGUACCAAGACCGUUGCUGAUGGGGCGAAAGAUGGU